rnacentral:rRNA from 1 species
UACGUAGGUGGCAAGCGUUGUCCGGAUUUACUGGGCGUAAAGAGCGCGCAGGCGGUCGUUCAAGUCGAGUGUGAAAGCCCCCGGCUCAACUGGGGAGGGUCACUCGAUACUGCCGUGCUUGAGGACUGGAGAGGAGACUGGAAUUUACGGUGUAGCGGUGAAAUGCGUAGAUAUCGUAAGGAAGACCAGUGGCGAAGGCGGGUCUCUGGACAGUUCCUGACGCUGAGGCACGAAGGCCAGGGGAGCAAACGGG